rnacentral:rRNA from 1 species
GACGUAGGGCGCGAGCGUUGUCCGGAUUUAUUGGGCGUAAAGAGCUCGUAGGCGGCUUGUCGCGUCGACCGUGAAAACUUGGGGCUCAACCCUAAGCCUGCGGUCGAUACGGGCAGGCUCGAGUUCGGUAGGGGAGACUGGAAUUCCUGGUGUAGCGGUGAAAUGCGCAGAUAUCAGGAGGAACACCGGUGGCGAAGGCGGGUUUCUGGGCCGAUACUGACGCUGAGGAGCGAAAGCGUGGGGAGCGAACAGG